rnacentral:lncRNA from 1 species
CAUCUCUCCUUGUGAAAGAAUAUGAUUAGUGACGCGUGCCUCUGCCUGGGAGCAAAAGUCUCAGUACUUCCUUGAUACUUGAACAACAGCAACAUCAAUCUCCUUCAAAUGGUGAAGCUUCCACAUGUGUCGGGAGAGAAGGCAGCAGCAAAGCCUUUGCAAGAGGCAGCACCUGUAGCUUUGCCCAGCCAAAAUACAUGAUCCAGGACCAUCUUCAUGCAUAAUACAUGUAAAGGCUGUUUGAAGCAGCACAGGCAAGUGAGUUUUCAGUUGGAUGCCAUGCUAGAUGCAACAACUUCGUUGUGA